CAGCGGUUCUGAACUACAGGCCACAGAGGGAGAUGUGAGCAGAAUAGAGUGUGGUUUGUUAUUUCGGAUGUCCUGGCUGGCAGGCCCAACCGUUACUCUCUAGCACUUUGAUCUAAGGAGAGUCAGUUCACCUCCAGAUUUCAGCUUCAUGUUCUGUAAAAUGAGGUUGACAGAGUCACCCGAGUUGAGGCUGUAGAUCCACUUAAUUCUGCCAAGAUCAUCCUUUUAAAAGAGAGGUCCUUUCAAAUGCUAGAGGCCACAUGUGCACUUCAAGAACUGGAGAUCCUGUUUCAGUUAUCUUAAUCUGAAAAACAUGGUGUGAUGUUCAAUCUUCAUUGUCAGCCCUAUUGGAUCUGGAAUCAAGAGACACUUGGAUCUGUAAGGAUGUUUCCAGAGAGGAUUGACUGAGUAGGCGAAAUCCUCCCCCAGAGUGGACGAGAGGCCUCAUGGUGGCAGUCCAGAUAUGAGGAGGCCCACAAGAGGAACUGUUGCCUUUGCCUGCUUGUUUUAACGUCUUACCUGUGAGUGCAUCUGCAUUGUUGCCUCUGCUGCCACCAUUUGCUGACCACGGGACUGUAGGACUCAGCUUCUUUGGCCUGUGAACUUGGAUCAAAGACUUGUGACACUCCAGAAAUCCUCCAGACCUUCAGGAUUAGAUACGGAUGGACGAGGCAACCAGCUUCACAGAGAGCAGCUACCGGGAUCCCAGCCAUUGCUGAAGACAGCCAUUGUUGGACUACCCAGACUGAACUGUGUAAAGCAAUCUAGUAAAUUCCCAUUGAGUAGACGUUCAUUCUGUCAGCUGUGGCCCUUUAGAGGACUUGACCAAUGUCCAUGGCACUGCUUAAGAGAAGCACACGGACCCCAAAGAGGCUUCAGUCUGUGCGUGAUCGGAAUUCUUUCCAAGGUUGCCUGACAGAAUCAGUAAUCACCUAGGAGAAAAAUCAGCCAGACACUUUUUUUUUAUGGCUAGGAAUUUUUUAUUUCUAAGAAUGUGCCUGUGCAAAUGCACAUAUUAAAUGCAAGCAAGCAUCCUAAAGAUUCUUUUAGAGGGUAGUAUGGAAGCCAGGUGUCGUGGCUUUUGCCUGGAGUUCCAGUAUCAGGAAAACCAAGGUAGGAGGAUUAUAAGUUUGAAGGCCAGCCUGGUUUAGAUAGUAAGGCUCUGUCUCAGCAAAUCAAACCAAUCCAAACCAAGCAACCAAGCAACCAACCAAAUAAAGUGGUAAGGCUAAUGGUUAUAUGAAGAGCUCGUAUGUAGACAGUAAGUCUUGAAUAAACCAGAUAACUGUCAUGAUGCCGUAGGAGUGCGUGCUUACUCUCCUCUUGGGGUUAGAUUGCCAGUGACAUCCAGCCGUAUCCCAGACAAUUGAGAUGGAAAUGAAGAUAAUGCAUCCCAGAAAAACAGAACAGAGUGACUCAGAAAUUGGCCCUAGAGAUAAUUCACACAGUUUAUGAAUAAAAUUAUGUAAUGAUAUGUAAGACUGGAAAAGUAAUAUCUCUACUUUAAUGUAUUAUUUAGAGUAUGUGACUUUAAAUAUGCAUGUGCAACCGAAUUGAUAAAAUGAAUUUUCUAAGUCAUAUUUAUUUUAUCUACACCCCUAGGAGUUUAUAAAUCAGCUAGAUAAAAGUUUUAUUGAGGGAUCUUCUCAUUGGGUAUGAUGGGUUUUCCCCAUAUGGGCAGAUUUAUGAGUUCCUUAACUCAUGAUGUUGUGUGAAAAUAAAACAGGCGGUGUACACUGUGCUUUGUACUCUGUAUACAGCAGAGGCUCAACUAAUGCCGAAUCCUUUUGUGUAUGGGGAACUGGACAGUCAUUGGGAAAUAGCACAUGAAAGCCACUGAGGUCCUGAGGUAGAGACGGUGUGAAGGUUCUAGAAAAGAGGAAUGGGAACAAAAUGGCUGAGACUAUAGGUUAGUUGGUGAACUACUCACCUAGCAUGUACAUCCGCACCCUUCGUCCAGUCCCCAGCACCACAUAAACCGUGCAUGGGGAUGCAUGCCUACAGACUCAGUAUUCAAAACCUGGGGACAGGAAUUCAGGAUCAACCCCAGCAACAUAGACGUUUUGAUGUCAGCCUAGACUAUGUGAUACUUUGUCUCAAAAAGAAAGAAAAAUAAAACGAAGAUCUACUAUUUCUCCACAGCGAGCAUAAGGAAGGAAUAGAGGCUGGCACUCUGCCCAAGUCUGAGCCUUCCGCGGUGUGUGCGUGCGUGCGUGCGUGCGUGCAUGCGUGCGUAUGUCAACUUUAUCCCAGAGGCUUCUGCUCACCCCUUCAUAACUGGAACCUGACCUCAUGGAGCCAAUGCAGCAAGCUGAAGUUACCAGGUGGCAACAUAUAGAGCUUUGUGCUGCAGUCCAGAAAACUGACCUGGAAGUGGGGGGAGAGGGAAAGUGAGAGAGGGAGGGAGGGACAGAGGGAGGGAGGGAGUCAAAAACAGGCAGAGAGUGAAAUAGACAGAGGAGAGAAGAGAGGGGAAACGGGGAGGGAGAACGAUAAGCCCCAUCUCCUUGUUAACCUAUUUCAACAGAAAAAGAAAAUAGCGAGAAUGUAAUAUCAUAGUCGGCAGACGCCAAGAGCUGUGUUUCCAGGUUGCUGUCCUUCUAGGCACUGUGAAAAUGUCUGCGCUCCAGGGCCUGAGGCCGGAGUCCGGUUGCUCAGGUACACAGCUCAACGGAGACCCUGUGGAAGAGACCUAGGUUGAAAUGAGCUACUCUCAGAAGUUCCCUGCAGCCAUGCAGAGGGGAAACUGACUCCUCCAGGAGAAGAGUGGGCUGAGUGCCUUCUCCCGUCUUGCUUUCCUGCUCUUGGCUUAACUGGACCUUCUGUGUGGCCAGCGGUUUAUGUCUGUAUUCCAAGGAGGGCGGUGUUGAUCUGAGCCAGUUGUUUGUAUGAUGCCCCACCUGGGUAGAGUGGAGUAAUCUCUCCUUUGAGAAAAUCCUCCUCUCCAGGGAAACUAAUCUGCCCUCUGACAGUUCUGAGGGUCACCCAGUGUGUUGGCAGGCAUUGUCCCAUCUACAGGGCUGUACCUGAUCUCUGGAAGUUUUACAGACAGACAACAGCUGCCUUCCUCUUCUACCUCUAAGCCCAACCCCUUCUCUUCUUGCUGUCAGAUGCAUAUUUUAGUUACCACGUGGAGCAAAAGCAUUCUUCCCUAUGGUUUCAGUGCCUUGAUGACAGUCCUUGCUUCCCUCUCUGGCUUAGAGUUCCACAGUGUCUGAGAAAUGGUAUCAUACACACUUGUCUAGUGUACUUUGUCUUUGGUCAAGUAAUUUAAUUAUUUAUGACUCAUUGAAUUGAGGGCAUGUAGGGUGUGAGUGUGUGUGUGUGUGUGUGUGUGUGCGCUCGCGCGUGCGUGUGCGUAUGCACUCGUGUUAAUGCUUGUAUACAUGUGUAUGUAUGUAGGUGUGUAUAGAUGGGCUUUGAACCAGCACUUCUUGUUUCUGUGCUAGUUUUCAAAAACUAAUGAAUGCCCUGUGGCCAGAAAAUUGGGGGUUGUAUUUAGUUAUGAUAAAACAUUUCACCCUGGUAAAUUGUUUUACCCAGCUCUCUAACAGUCUUGCAUAGAAGACCAAGCCCUUUCAUUAGAUCUUAGAAGACUUAGGUGACCCAACAAAAACUCGAAUGUUGAUAAGGCUUUCUCCGGAGCUUCAUGCUGGACCUGUGUAUUUGGGGAGCCCUCCUAAUAACAGAUCAAGUAGCCCUGGUGCCAUUCUGACUCUGUGGAUACGGCGCUCUAUCUUAAGGCCUGCUAAGGAUGUCUCUAGCCUCUUUUGUGAGCUGCUGUGGCAACCAUGACAGUAGGUAUCAGUUUGCUCAGGCUGCCCUAGCAGAGCACCUCAGACUGGGAUGGUUAGAAAGCAGAAAUGUCCUUUCUCACUCUGACAGAUACUGGAACCCAAGGUCAAGGGAUCAGCAGGGUUGGCUCCUGAGAGUUCCUUCAUGGCUGGCAGGUGGUUGUAGGGUCAUGGUCCUCCUGUGCAUCUGUCUCAAAUUCCUCUUUUUACAGACUUCAGUCCUGUUGCAUUAGAGCCCUCCAGUGACUUUAUUUUACUUAAUUACCUCUUCAGAGACUCCAUCUCCCAAGACAACCACACUCUAAAGUACCAGGCAUUAGGACUUUAAUGUCAGUUUUCAGGAUCCAGAACUCUGCAGGAUCCAGAAGCUGCUUUGUGUUGUUUCUCUUUCGUUGGAAAUAAAAUUUUCCCUCACAUGUUAUAAACUGAUUGUAGCUUCCCCUCCCACAAGUCCUUCAAGUUCCCUUCCCCUUCCCUCCCAUCGGGAUCCCCUACUCCCUUUCUGUCUCUCCAUAGAAAACAAAUAGGCUUCUGGGGGAUAAUAAUAAAAUAUUAUGAGAUAAAACAAAAGCUAAUACAUCAGAACAUACACACACACACAUACACACACACAUACACACCCCUGGUUUUGCUUUAUCUUAUAAUAUAAUAUAAUAUAAUUAUAUCAUCUUAUAGUUACAAUAUGUAACUAUAUUAUAAUACAAUCUUAUAUUACGGUUAUAUGUACAGGGUACAGGUUAUAGGUUACAUAACUCACUGCAUAUUUUGUAUUACAUAUUACAUAUCAUGUGUUACUUGUUACAUGUUGCAUGUUGAAUAUUACAUAUUACAUACUUAUAUAUACAAUAUAUAAUAUGUUUUGUUAUAUGUUAUAUACUAUCUGCUAUAUACUAUAUAUUAUAUAAAUAUUUACUUUUAUAUAUUUCACACACACACACACACAUACACACACACACACACACACACACACACAAAUAUACAUGAAAGGGAGCCAAAGAGAAGGCACAAGAAUUAGACACUAAUAUACAGAGUCCCACAAAAACCACAAAACUGGAAGCCAUGAUAUCCACAGAGGACCCGGUGCCGACCCCUGCAGACCCUCUGCAUGCUACCGCAGUCUCUGAGUUCAUGUAAGCUUUGUUCAUAUUGAUUCAGAGGACCUUGUUCUCCUGGAUUUCCCCCACCCCACCCCACCCCCUGCUUGAUCCCUACAGUCUUUCCCUGAACCUUGAGGGCAGGAUUUGAUGGAGACAUGGCGUUUAGGGCAGAGUGCUCCAAUGACUCUCACUCUCUGCAUAAUGUCCGUCUGUGGGUCUCUCUUCCCAUCCGCUACAGGAGGAAGCUGCUCUGAUGAUGACUGGGUUCUAUCUAUCUAUCUAUCUAUCUAUCUAUCUAUCUAUCUAUCUAUCUAUCUAUCGCCAGAAUUCUCCUGGAUAUACAUCCUGUGAGUUGAGAUGUGGACUCAAUUUUUCCACAUGUGCAUCCCUUGGGGUAGACAUUAUCACCAUUUUGCUUGUGAGGUGACUGAAGUAGGUGAAAGGCCACCUGCCCAUGCCUCAGAGCCUCACCUUACUGAUGAACCCAGGGACCUGUCUCCGGCAGCCAUGCCUGUUCUCCAUGCUGACCUGCAGCGGGGACUUAGCCAACUGCCCUUUACCACUGCUCCUGUCUCUGGAAAUUUCAGAAGGUGACAGGAACUCAUAAACCUGUGGGCUCAAGUCCAGGGUUGUGUAGCUUUUGUGAAAAAGCUUUGUGAUUGGAUGAGUGUUAGGUUGCCAAGGGCUCCCAUCAGACAGCAUGGGUGUGGGGAGGGAUGCCUAUAUGCAGAUUCUGUACUCGGGGCUAUCUUUACUCAGAAGAUCCCUGCUUAUCCAACACAAUUGUUCUUCUGCAAAGACUGUGUCUAUCUAGAGGUAGAUAAAGAGAAACAGACUGCAUCUUCCUUCCUUGGGAUGGUAGACGAUGAUUUGAGGUAGAUGUUCACAAAUAUUAAAGGGAGUGCAGAAUUGUGGUUGAAUGCAGGUUUUUGGAAUCUUAUGUAUCAGAAUCUGCUCACAAGCGCUGCUCUGCUGAGUGAUAUUUCGUUUUAAUUGUUAUAUGGGGUAGGAAUACAUGAAGAUGUGCCUGUUGAGGCCAGAGAUCUAAAUCAAUGUCUUUAAUAAUCACUGCCUAUCUUGUUCUUUGAGGCAAGGUCUCUCACAGAAUCUGGAGCUAAUAGUUUUGGCUAGAAUGGCUGCCCGCCGAGCCCUGGGCUCUGCUCAUCUUCUGCCCCACCCUCCCCUAGCUGUUUGUGUUACAUACUUGUGGUGUCACACCUGGAUUUUUAUGCAUAUUCUAGUUUCAUUUCUGUUUCUGCAAUUAAAAAGACCCGAAUAAAAAGCAAACUAGGGAAGGAAAAGGUUCACUUGGCUUACAGUCCCACAUUAUAGUUCAUUCUUAUAGGGAAGACAAAGCGGGGGCUUCAAGUAUCACAUCCACAGUCAAGGGCAUAAAGGAAAGAUAUGUUUGUAUUGUUGCUAGCUCAUGGCUGGCUCUCUCCUCCCUUGUAUAGUCCGAGGCAAUCUCCUAUAAACGUGCCCACACGCUAACCUGGUCUAGAUAAUUCCUCAUAAAGACUCACUUCCCAGUGAGUUUGGGUUGUAUCAAGUUGAUAGAUAAAGGAAACUGGUACAAUAUGGGAGUUAGCUAUCAAAACUCAGAUUCUUAAACUUGCAAGGCAAGCACUUCACCCACUUAGCCAUCUCCCUAUCCCCUUGAUUAAUCUUUAGGACAUAAUUGCUCUAUCUGAAGAAAAUGGCAUAUGCUGUCUCUUUACAGGGUUAUUACAAGAUUAUACACUAUAUAAACUGCCUUAGUAUACAGUUUUGUUUUAUUUUAUAGUAAAACCAGACUAGGCUACACAGUAAUAGCAAGUAACUCUCGAUCUUGCUUAUAUGGUAUAAGUAUUUAUAUCUUGUAUCAUAAAUCUGCCCGUGGCUCCUCACUCUGAUAGAAAAGCCAUUGUCUCAAGCACUGUUAAUACCUGACAAAGGGCAACUUAAUAAAGGGAAGGUUUAUCUUGGCUCACAGUUCUGAGGGGUACAGUCUAUCACAGUGGGGGAAGUAUGGUGGCAGAUGUGAGAGGUAGCUGGUCAUGUUGAGGCCACAGUCAAGAAGCAGAGGAGGAAUGUUGGCAUCUCUCUCCUGUCUACUCCACUCAACCUAUAAAUAAUACCACCACCCACAUACAGGGUGGGUUUUCCUUCUUCAAUUAAGCCUUUCUAGACACACACGCACGCGCGCGCACACACACACACACACAAACACACACACACACACACACACACACACAUGUGCUGAGAUAUGUUUCCAUGCUGAUCAUGGUGAUUCUCAAUCCAUUCAGGUUGAAAAUGAAGGUUGGAUAUCAUGUAGUUAUAUUAUUCUUUGAGUGGCUUUCAUGCUGCCUUCUGUAGUGGCUGUAUCGCUCUCCCGUUUACUGGCUGUAUUAUCUUAUCCCUUUGAGGUUUUUCUCUGUGCCUGCCCUGUCCAGGAAGAGCCAGGGACUCCUUGUGGCUCUGCUUCACAUUAUUUGUGCAAAGGACAGAGUCCCUCUUGUGUCUCAUUGAUCAUGGCUUAAUUUGGCAUUUAUUACUCCCUACUCCUUGUUUUACUUUGUAAUUUUCUCCAGAGGUCAUGGCUAGAGGCAUGGGUUAUACCUUAAAUCCUUAAAAAGAACAUAGAAAUGCACAAGUUAUCCUUUAUAUGGCUUUAUUGGACUUUUGUCAUUUUUUAUUACCUCUAAUAUACUACCUAUACCUACAGGCUAUAUAUCACCGAACUUCUCCAAGAUCCUUAGCAGUGCCAAGUAAGGAAUGUCUGCAAGAUCUAAUAAUAGAGAUGCCGUCCCGUGGAGAAUUACAAGAAUAGAUUUAAUUUGAGGAAUUCUUUUAAUUUCAGUUAGCAUCAGACUUGUAGGUGUGCUAGGUGUUUCUGACUUCAUGCUACUAUGGAAGAAGGAACACUUGGGGAAGUUUAGAGCCUAUUUUUUAGACGCUCACCCACCCCUCUCCACCCUCUAUGAGACACUGGAUUUCAACAAGUAUCUUAUCCUUGGAAUUUGUAUUUAUGUUCCCAUCAGUGUUUGUCCUUUAACUUUUGAAAUGGGGCCCUUUACUACCCCUCUUGUCUCUCAAGUGUGAAAAGGGUCUGCUCUCUUCUGUGUGCUUAGGCUGUGGCACCAGAUACAGACACUUUAAGAACCAGGUGUAGAGAUAACAGCAGUAAUUUCUUCCUUAGUAUCUUAGUUAGGGUUGCUAUUGCUGCAACAAAACACCAUGACCAAAAGAGCAAUUUGGCAAGGAACGAGUUUACUCAGCUUAUAUUCCCAGAUCAUUGGAGGAAGUUAGGACUCAAGCAGAGCUAGAACCAGGAGGCAGGAGUUGAUUCAAAGGCCAUGGAGAGUGCUCACCCUUACUGGUUUGCUUCCCAUCGUAUGUUCUGACUGCUUUCUUAUAGAACCUAGGACCACCAAUCCAGGUAUGGCACCACCCACAAUGGUCUGGGUCCUCCACCAUUGGUCAAUAGUUGAUAAAAUGCAUUAUAGCUAGAUAUCAUGGAGGUAUUUUGUCAACAGAGGCUCCUUCCUCUCUGAUGACUCUAACUUGUGUCAACUCAGUGCACAAAACCAUCCAGUAUACCUAGUUUGGUAGCCACUAAUGCAGGCUGACUGUGCUUAGUACUCAGCAUUGUCUGAGCAAAUGACAACCGUCCAGAUUACCUACUGUGUGCUUAGCCUUCCAACCAUGGCAACCUCAUGUAACCAAUGCUUCGGGAAACAAAAGACACCCCAAGGAUGCCAAAUCUCUGUAAUUUCAACUACAUUAGUCCCUGCUUUGUCAUUGCCAAAUACCUGAUAGAAUCAACCUAAAGGCAGGAGUGUUUUAUUUGCUCUUGGACCAGAGGAAGGCAUCAGGCUUAGAACACCAUUGUGAUGGUAUGUAUAUGUUUGCCCAGGGAAUGGCUCUAUUAGGAAGUGUGGCCUUAUUCUAGUAGGUGUGUCACUGUGGGCAUAGGCUUUAAUACCCUUGUCCUAGCUGCCUUCAGAUGAAGAGGUAGAACUCUCAGCUCUUCCAGCCCCAUCUGCCUAGAUGCUGCCAUGCUCCUGCCUUGAUGAUAAUGGACUGAACUUCUGAAUCUGUAAGCCAGCUCCAAUUAAAUCUUGUCCUUAUAAGAGUUGCUUUGGUCAUGGUGUCUGUUCACAGCAGUAAAAUCCUAAGACAGUCAUGAUGGGAAUGUAUGAUAAUUUCUUGUUAUGUGGCACCCACCAGGAAGCAGAAAGUUUAGGCAGGAAGGGAAGUUAGAUGACCUACAACCUUAACACUGGUCCUAGCAUCCUACUUCUGCAAUUCCAGCUCCAUGUCCAAAGAUUUUCAUAAUGACCCCAGGCGGCCCCACCAACUGAGGCCUAUGGGUUCAAAUAUAUGAGCCCAUGCAGGACACUUUACAUCUAAACCAUAAUACCCCCCAAGGGUGGUCUUGGUGUUCUGAGAACCACGUUUCUGUCCUUCCAGGGAGAGGUGAAUAUUCAGUACUUUUUUGUUUGUUUGUAUUUUUACCUUUUUGUUUUUCUCUUCUGGCCUUAUUGCUACCAAAAUUCUGGGGAAUGACUUCAUAGUUUCCAGAUAUACCAAGGAAAUCAGUUUCUCCUUGAGGUACUUAGUCUCUAUUAAUAAAGUAAUUUGAGAAUUGGCUCAAAUGGAGUGGAGCCCCUAGGACAAUUUUAUUAAGUUUUUUAAAUGCAUUGAAAACAAAACAAACAAAAGAAAAAGAAAACAAGCUAAAUAAAAAAAAACAAAAACAAAAAACAACAAAAAAAAAACCUCCUCAGGGCAGGCAGCCUAUAAAUUUCACCAGCUUCCCAGAGUAGGCAAAAGAGAAAAGGGGAAAAUUUCAUGCUUUCUGAGCUACCAACAUGGCAGUCCACCACAUCAAAGGAAUGGAGGCUUUGGGGAAAACACAAGGAAACACAAAGUACCAGAAAAGUAUAUUAGGUCUGGCUAUCAUCUGAAAAAGAGAGAUAGAAAAAAGUAAACAAAAAAGCCUAAUCUCAUGUCAGCUCAGUUUACAUGGGAACUUCUGUUUUUCUUAGGGUUUCUAUUGCUAUGAAGAGACACAGCAAACAUAAUAAUUCUUAUAAAGGAAAACACUGAAUUGGGCCUGGCUUACAGGUUCUGAGGCUCAGUCCAUUAUCAUCAUGGCAGGAAGCAUGGCGGCAUGCAGGCAGACAUGGUGCUGGAGAAGGAGCCUAGAGGUCUACGCCUACGUCUCUGGAUUGACAGGCAGCAGGAAGAGAGAGUGGUCGUGGGUCUGGCUUGAGCUUCUGAAUCCUCAAAGACCACCCCCAGUGACACACUUCCUCCAGCAAGGUCAUACCUCCUAAUAGUGUCACUCCCUAUGGGGGCCAUUUUCAGUCACACCACCCCAGGAGCUAUGCUGGUGGGUGGGAAUUCUGAGAAGGAAGAGUGUAUUUUCUUGCGGGAGGAAUAUUUGUUCCACCUACCUUUUUAGCAGAGCUUAAGGCUAGCCCAACCCCCUAGGAGUGGUCCCUUGGCUAGGACAUUGACUUGGCCCAAUUAGAAUAUUAGGCCUCUACUAUGACCAGAGAUUCUAGUCUCUUGACCAGAAGUUUUACAGUAGUGGGCCUUUAUUGUUACUCGAAUAGUAUAUCUCUCUGUUCAGUUCUCAUUUAGGUCUUGUUGUUUUGUGUUUAAGGGAAUUAAAACCCUUCCCAAUAAGUGGUAGAAGGGAUUAAAAUCAGCACAAAGUUCUGCAUUGACUAACAAAGUAAUUUGAGCGUCAAUUAGCAGCUUCGAAGACACCGAUCUGAACCUCCUGACAUUUUCAAACCGUGCACAGAUUUCCAAAAAACUGAAGAUUUGGGGCUUGUCUAUUUUGUUCAUUUUCAUUGUUAUUUUGCUACCAGGAUCUCAUCCCGACCGUCUGUCAGCUUCCUAGUUCUUUGAUGCUCACUGAGAAGUUCAGACAUGACGCACAGAGAGCACUGUGGAUAAAUACAUGGGAUGUGUCUCAGGGCAAUGCAGGGGCACUCUCAAGAGUGAGAAUGGGCAAUGGCCAAAGGAUCAGAGCAGAGAACAGUCUCAGGGAACGAGAGUGGACAGUAGCCAGGGGGGACGUUAUGUAGAGCACAUGCUUGGGGAGUGAAAGUGGACAAGGGACGAGCCAACCGUUGUGCAGAGCACAUUGUCAAGGGAUGGGAAGGGACAAUAGCCAUGAAGACCACUGUGGAGCCCAUACUCUUGAGAAGUGAGGCUGGAUGGUUGCCAAUGGCAUCUUGGGUAGAGCACACUAUCAAGGGAGGAGAGUGAACAGUAGCCAAGAGCGUCUAUUUCUCAAUCUGUGUUUUAGCUAAGUUUUAUAAUACAUUGUAUUGUGUGUGAGCUUGUGCAAUUAUGCGUGGAGGCCAGAGGUAAACCUCGGGUAUUGUUCCAUAUGGGCAUCUUGUUUUGUGAGACUGGUUCUCUCUGGCCUGGAACUCACUCAUUAAGUUAGGCUGCCUGGCUAGUGAGUCCUGGCUGCUGUCUCUGUUGUCCCAGAGCUGGGAUGAUAACUCUGCACCACCACACUUGACUCUUGUGCUGAGCUACACUCUCAGUUUCUAUAGUAUUGCUUCUUUUUAAUUGCAUUUUUAUUUACAUUUUAAAUGUUAUCCCCCUUUCCGCUAUCCCAUCCCCCCCAACCCCUGCUUCUGUGAGGGUGCUCCCUCACCCACCCACUCCCUCCCACCUCCCUGCCCUGACAUUCCCCUACACAAGGGCAUGGAGCCUUGACAGGACCAAGGGUCUCUCUUCCCAUUGAUGUCCGACAAGGCCAUCCUCUGCUACAUACGUGGAUGGAGCCAUAGGUCCAUCCUUGUGUUCUCUUGGGAUGGUGGUUUAGUCCCUGGGAGCCCUGGAGGGUCUGGUUGGUUGAUAGUGUUGUUCUUCAGCUCCUUCAGUCCUUUCUCUAACUCUUCCAUUUGGGGACUCCAUUCUCAGUCCAAUGGUUGGCUAAGAGCAUCAACCUCUGUAUUUGUCAGGCUCUGGUGGAGCCUCUCAGGAGACAGCUAUAUGAGGCUCCUGUCAGCAUGUACUUCUUGGCAUCCGCAAUAGUGACUGGGUUUGGUGGCUGUGUGUAUAUGGGCUGGAUCCCCGGGUGGGGCAGGCUCUGGAUGGAUUUCUUAAACUCCCCAGAUCAGAUUCCUUAGGAGUGUUUUCAUGUCUAGGUGAUUGACAGGAUCAUUUUGAUUAACCCUUGAGAGAGGGGUAAUGGUAUGAUUUUAUUCUCUCCCAGAAGACCUCUGGCUAGAUGGUGAUCUUUUGGGCUAACCACAAUGUCCAGCCUCUACCUGGGGCAGAAAUACAGGCUAGAGCACAUUCUUUUGCACAAUAAUCAAAGUCCUUCUGUUUCAGUCGCUGGUUUCACAGGCUACAGAUUGUGAGUAAGGAGCCCAGUGUUAGUGACUUUCCAGUCUGCAAGUAUUUGACUGCAGGUCAAGGCAGAGUCUCCCUGUGGUGUCCAGGCUGCUCUUGAAUAAAGCUCCCGCCUCAUCUUCUCAGGUAACUGAGGCUAAAACGUGCACCACCAUGAUUCUACACCGAUUUAAAAAGAAACUUCUGAUAAAAUCUGUCUUACAGCAAAGGAAAAAAAUCUUAAUUAUGGAAUGAUGAGUUUUAUCAGGAUCUAAGGUUGUCAGGGGCCUUGGGGAGAAGCUGACUUUGGCAGGAAGAUUCCAGGAGUUACUUCAGAAAGUUCUGUAACUGUGCUGAAGUUGUGGCAGGAGAGAAGGUGUUCUAAAGAGAGACACCUGUCCCCUCCCGUCAACUAUCUGACUUUGCACACUUCAGUUUGACAGGCUUGCAGAUCUUAAAAACAAAAGCAAACAAAUAAACCAAACAAAAGCCAGAGAGAAGCUCCAACUCUCUACCUGUCAAAGGAGAGAGCCUGAAGAUGCAGAGGUCUGAUUCAUCAGCGGGACCUCACACCCCACAAACUCCAUUGUUUUUCAGUAGGACACACAUAAAACAGAACAGAGGCCCAGUUCACUCACCCCAGGGAAGGGCAACCUGUUGCAUAGGCAGAUCUGUGUACUUUAUAGAUCUAUUUGUCUCAAGACUUUCUACAGACUCUAAAGUGUCCAUGGCUACCCUAGGGAAGGAAUCAGAAAUUUUUUCCCUCCCCAUUCAGCAAAACUUCAUAUGACUAUUUCCCUUUACCAAAUUCUAUUUCUGUGGAAUCCAAAGAAAUGGAGGCAGGGAGUGUUGUGACCUAACUACCAGGUAACAACUCCUGCCACACUGCUGUUGUGUUUUGGUUUGGUUUUGGUUUGGUUUUUCCCAGAGAGAGCUUCAGGGGGAAAAGCUGGCUUUGCUUGACCUCCCUUUCUUCUGUGAAUGGGCGCCGAGUGGCUGUUUUAUAAAUACGGAGAUGUGAAAUGAAAUGUCACGUUAGCCAGGAUGUUUUAUUAUGUUGUUUUAUGGGUCAUUCUUUUAAUAUGGGUUGUUUUAUGGAGCUCUGUUAUCAUGUAGCUUGAAAGCCCUGAAUUUUGGUGGGAGAUGCUCUGCUCUUAUUACAACAGCCAGGCCGUACGAGGCUGAAUUAAUAGCCAGCAGAACAGAAGCAACUGCUGUCUUUGCAAAACACCGGGCCAUUAAGAGGAUCAAUCAGUAGGGGGUAGUGUAAUCCACCAACAUAGGCAUUUUCCAUGCAGUUCUGUUGCUGCAUCUCAAUGCAAAAAUGGUCCAGGAUUUUUUUUUCAAGUGCAUUAAAGAGGAGAGAAUCCCAGCAGGGGCUUAAUAAAGGAUUUUCCCCACUUUUGUGCUCCCCACCCCCCACCCCUUGGCUUUUUAUUCCUGCAACAAGCUUCAUAGUUUGGAAAUCAUUUUUGAAGUCGGUGUUGUGAAUAUUAAGUAGGGAAGAGAAAGAGGCCAAGCUGUUACCUUGUAAUAAAAAUCAGACUCGAGCCCUUUCCCACUGCCUGCCUAGAAGGCGCAAUAGUUUUGGGACCUGGCCUUUCGCGCUCACUCAGUGAGCAGUAUUAAAAGUAACAGUUAAACCUUGAGCAGGUCGUAGUGAGACUAUAACCUCCAUGCAUUUGUGAAGGACUCCUGUUCUCUAGGGCAUAAACUUGAACCUUCUACAGGAGACCAAAGAUGUCUUGUUGCCACCGAAUUAAACUAAACACGCUAGUGUUGCCCAUAACAACAGUUGCUAGGCGACCUUUGCCAGCAUGUGGAGGGGUGGAGAACAUUGUGGAUCAUGGCUCUAUUUAUCAUCCUAUGCCAGCAGUCUUGCUGAGGGAAGGACCUGACACACACAUGACAGAAAUGUCACAUGCACACAAGAAGAGGGACGUGGGCUGAGAAAUCUUCGAUAGUUGUCACACCUCUCUGCCUGUGUGAUUUCUUGACUGACUUUCACUGUAGACAUAGAGCUGUAUGCUGGCACUAGAUUUAGAAUGUGUCCAUCCCACCUCUUCUAGGGAAGGCCAGGAGGGAAGGGAAGAGCCCAGGGAGGAAAUAAUGAGAAUGUCAUUCCCGUGUCACCAGUGGGACUGUGGCAACAACUAACGUCGCUUUGCACAUAAACAACGCUCACCCCAAAUAGACACUGGUUUAGAAUAUCAGUUAGUCGGGUGUGAUGGCACCUAUUGUAAUCCCAGCACUCAGGGAACUGAGGCAGAAGAACUGCUAUGAGUUGUGAGACAUCCUGGGAUACAUAUAAGGACCCUGCUUCAGACCAUCUUCUGAUAUAAUGUAGAUUAAAGUUCCACUUCUGAGGUAUAAAGGAUGACACUAUAGACUGUUUAUUGUUUGGGGUAAGUAUGGGAUUAUGUGGGGGGCAGUUUACAUGUGUAUGAGAGGGCAUGUAUGUAUGUGUAUGUGAGUGUGUAUGUGUGAGUGUGUGUCUGUGUGUAUUUAUAUGUGUGUGAGUGUGUGUCUGUGUGUAUGUGUGUAUGUGUGUGUGAGUGUGUAUAUGUGUGUAUGUGUGUGUAUGUGCGUGUGUGUGUAUAUGUGUGUAUGUGUGUGUAUGUGCGUGUGUGUGUGUCUGUGUGUAUUUAUAUGUGUGUGAGUGUGUGUCUGUGUGUAUGUGUGUGUGUCUGUGUGAGUGUGCAUAUGUGUGUCUGUGUGUAUGUGUGUGUGAGUGUGUAUUUGUGUGUAUGUGCGUGUGUGUGUGUCUGUGUGUAUGUUUAUAUGUGUGUGAAUGUGUGUCUGUUUGUAUGUAUGUGUAUAUGUGAGUGUGAGUGUGCGUAUGUGUGUCUGUGUGAGUGUGUGUGUGUCUGUGAAUGUGUGGGUGAGUGUGUGUCCAUGUGUAGGCCAGAGGAUAAUCUCUAGAGUCAUUCCUUAAAAAAAAUCAACCUUGUUCUUUGAAGUUUGUCUCUCAUUGGCCUGAUGCCCACCCAGUAGGGUGUGCUGGCUGGCCAACAAGCCCUGGAACUCCCCCUGUCUCCUUUCCCCAGCACUGGGAUUAUUAAUGUGUGCUACCACGCCUAGAUUUUAGGGCAAUUAACGUUUUAAAGGAUGUACCAUCUCAGCAAAGUGUCCCCUAAACAUGUGUCUCCAAAAGCCAAGCCACUGUUUGGGACAAGCGCCUGCUCACUGGUCCCCUUCCUGCUUGCUCUCUGAGGCCAGAACAUGGCGUCUCAACAGCCGGUCUGAGAUCCACACAAUCUAAGAAUUUAGAUUAAAGCUGAAUUAAAACCCGCCCUGACUUCACCACCCUAUUUUUGCCAGGUCUAAAGCAACAGUUCUCAAGAAGCCUUUUUAAAAAACAAUUAUAUAGUGCUACAGAGAUGGCUCAGUGAUUAAGAGCACUGACUGCUCUUCCAGAGGUCCUGAGUUCAAUUCCCAGCAACCACGUAGUAGCUCACACCCAUCUCUAAUUGAAUCCAAUGCCCUCUUCUGGUCAGUCUGAGGAUAGCUACAUGGUGUGCUUGUAUAAAUAAAAUAAAUCUUUUAAAAACCAAUUCUGUAAACCCACAUUUAACUAGAGUAAAUUACGACGUUCAUGGGUGUAAUAAUCCAUCCAAAGUCACACAAUGUAGGCAGCGUCUCUAUUUCAGACCUCCGACUCCUCAACGUUCCUGCUCAUCCCCACCAAAGAACAGAAAAGGAAGGAGGUGUCUCUCGGAUACGUUUUAUGAACGUGCCAGAUGAUUAAAACACCAGCAGUUUUGGGGUGAAAUGUCAGACCCUCCUGCAUUCUGCAUUCUCCAUAUUAGAGACAUACACAGGUAUGAUUACAGGGUGCAAGGAAGGAAGAAUAGAAAUCAAUCGGCAGGGGGAAGAGAGCAUCUUCCUGUAAAAACAAAAGGGAAAAAGGAAACAACCAUGUAACGGGGUCUUUAGAGAAAUAAUGGAGCCAGGUAUGAAAUUAUUUUCCGAAGGAAGAAACAAAGUGACUGAUAAUCCAAUUAGUUAGCAGAACAGCACAGUGGUGAGUCCCUGGCUCUGGGAUCGUGGCUGAGCUCACCUGUAGUUUCUCUUGCUUAUUGCUAAGCCUCACCAGGAGAGAUAUUUCAUCUAGGAAAGCCUCUGCUUCUCCUGUAAAUGUGGGGCAUAAUUAUUUUUAGUUCCUUGGCAGAGAGCACGAGAAUCAGCUGGCUGGGAGAAGAAAGGGCUUUGCAAUGCGUUUGGCACAAGGGAGCUGGCAGAAGACGCUGGUGUGGUAGAGCUGGUCUCUCAUUGUUAAUGGCAGGGAAAGUUCUUGGGCACAACCCGAAGAGGGAGCAACGGAGGGGGCUUGACCAUGAGAGCAGCCAUUGCUGCUUAGCCGUUUAUAGGUGACAGACAUGCGUAGAGGUGGGAUUAAGAGCUGCAUCAACAGGGCAGACCUAUUCCUGGACCCUGGGGUGUCAUGGAUCGAACAGGGUUGCAAAUGCUACUACUAGCCGGUUAGAAACCAGGGCUUCUUUGCUGCUAGCGAAUGUCAGAGGAUGACCUCAGCCAGCAGCAGCAGCAGGCUCAGUACUCAAUGUUUCAGCUGACCCAGAAUAAACAACGGAAUCCCAGAAGGGACAUAAAGUGUUCAAAAUAAUGAAUAGCACUUGACUCCCACUUGGGAAUUCCUCACAUUAUCCCAUUAGAUAAUGGGCAACAGCCAAAGAGGCCUGGGGUUGUUUCUUCCUCCUCCUCCUCCUCUUCUUCUUCCUCCUCCUCCUCCUCCCCCUCCUCCUUCUUUCUUUCUUUCUUUCUUCUUCUUUUUCUCUUCUUCUCCUCCUUUUCUUCCUCCUCUUCCUCCUUCUCUUUCUUUCUUCCUCCCUUUCUUUCUUUCUUUCUUUCUUUCUUUCUUUUUUUCCUUCUCUCUUCUUUCUAUGUCUAACAAAGAGAAAAGCAUGUGACUGAUCCCUGGUGAAGUGGGUCUGCCCAGCGAGUAUUGGGAAUAUGACUUAGUAUGUGACUUCUGAUCCCCGAAUGCCGCAUUACUGAACUGUGACUUGCUGUGCUGACACAGGCUCUGCCACAGGUCACUUGCUCUUCAGUGAGCGUCAGAGCAAUGGUGAGACAGCACCCUUGAGUGCUCAGAAACUCACUUAACUGAAUAGUACCAUGGUGUCUUCUGAGUUCCUCACAGCCCACUAAUUCUAAAUCAGGAAUUGAUCCAUGGGAACAGUUUUCAACCCAGUGGGAUAAGAACUAGGGGACUGCUCAGCUCCCCAUUCCAAAAGAGGCAGGUUUUAGACACAGUCUACAAGGCUCCUUAGAGAUCUUCAGUGAUCCCCAUUCCCUUCUGUCCUGUGUCAGUGUGAAGCCUGAUCAAUUUCACGAGGUGGUGUUCCUUCUUCCCUGCCCUCCACGCUCCUUUCAUCAAGUCCUGAGGGAUAGAGUAUUCAUACUCUGCCCUGAAGGGGUCCCAAACCAAGACCAUUUUUUGAAUCUUCAGCAAAGAUGGUCUUAUCUGUUCUUUGCACAGAAGUAGGCUAAGACCCAAGGCCCAGGUUCACAAAGGAGAGGGGUAAAUUUUCCUCAAAACAUCCAUUAUCCUUACAUUGAUGUCUUUUCCAUUCUGAUAUUUACCUGACGGAUUGAUUGUCCACUUACUUCUUGGAUGACCACCUUCUGAGCCACUUGCUGACAUUGGAGAACCUUCCAUGCAUUGAGAACUGCAGGCUCGGGGUUGGGGAUUUAGCUCAGUGGUAGAGCGCUUGCCUAGCAAGCAGAAGGCCCUGGGUUCGGUCCCCAGCUCCGGAAAAAAUAAUAAAAAAAAAAAUAAAAAAAAGAGAACUGCAGGCUCCUGUUGCCCAGGCUGGACUGAACAUAUGUUUGUGACUGAGACCCUGCCAAUUGGAUGUCCCUGCCUGGACUUCAGCAUUGCCACAGCACAUACCAUAUAGUAGCAGUUGGAGAGUAAAAGGGGCCAUGCAAGGUUUAGCGAGAGUUAAUUGUUCAAUGCUGUGGGCCAGUAUCCCAUUGCAACUUGACUCUUACAUCUCACUCAUCCCAUGUCUCUUGUUCUCUGGUGUCUUUCUUCAGUAAUUCCCACAGAACUUUGCAGCAGUAUUUCUUUGGCUUGAAUCUGCCAGAAUCACUUUCUUGCAUUACAACCAAAAGCCUUUAUCCGUCCUGCUAAAAGAUGAAGCCAACAGCUCAUGGCAGAGGCAUCAUACUUGGGGAAAGAUGUCUCUCUAAAGGAUCUGGGGUGAGGCUGGAAAGGUUUUCAUCUUUGUGCUUUAUUGCUUCCUAUGGAAGGGUUAGAACACCAAGAAGACCAUCCCUUGUAGAAAGUCUUCAAGAAUGUGAAUGAAAGAGAGAAUGUGUAGAGAGAGACUCCACAGAGGAGGCUAGAUUAUAGUCUUCUUGCUGAAUGCUUGUUAUGGAAAAUGGUUAGAGCUUUUUAUCUUGGGAAGUCACAUCUUUACCUCUCUCUCUUUCUCCUUCUCCUUCUCUUUCUCUUCUCUUCUCUUCUCUUCUCUUCUCUCUCUCUCUCUCAUCUAUUUAUUUGUUCAUUUGUUUGUAUAUCCAUUGAUUUCAAUGCUAAGGGAGAGACUAGUGCCUCAUGCAGAGUGAACAUUUGUUCUUAUAAUGUACUACUUUGCUAGCCCUUAAAGAGGCUGUUGUUUGUUUGUAAAGUGAUAGAAAUUCAACCCAAGAGUUUGUGCAUGCUAGGCAGAUGCUCUACCACUCUUCUAUGUCCCUAGUGUUCUUGUAUUCUUGAAUGUCAAAGGUUGGAUUUUUAUGUAUAUGUAUGUGCACAUUUGUGUGAGUGCACAUGUAUGUGUGUGCAUGUGGAAGCCAAAGGACAACCUUAGACAUUGUUCCUUGAAUGCCAUUCACCUUGGAAUUUUUGGAGCCAUAGUCUCUCAUUGACUUGAAGUUUGUCAGGUAGGCUAGGCUUGUUGGCCAGAACCCCCUGAGAGUCACUUGUCUUUGCCUCCCAUGCUCUAGGAUUAACCAUGUGUGCCUAUGGAUUUGGGGAAUUGAACUUAUGUUUCUGAGAACCAUGGUUGUAUGGAAAAAACACAAAACAAACAAACAAAAAAACCAACACUUUUCCCACUGAACUAUCUCUUUAGUCCCCUCAAAGACUGGAAUCUUAGAAAACUCUUGGCAAACAUUUGGAAUAGGGAUUACAAUAUGUAUUUAUUCCAUGUGUUUGAAACUCCUGGCAGCUCAAUUCUAAUGACUUCCCUUGCCUGACAGAUGGCAAGAUGAGCGAGUAUUCCCAAGGACAGAAGACACUCUGCUGUAGUGUGGGCCUCUCCAAUCCUUCCUUCGAACACUGCAACUGCACAGCUGUCUGGGGCUGACCGGAGAGACCUUGGUAGAAGGCUCAACAAUAGAACAUGUGGCUAUGGCUGCUCCUGUAAUACCCACGCUGGCAGGCGUAAUUCUCAGUCACAACACCCCACUGCAAAACGGGGCACGACUUACAUCGACAUGGAAGUUGUAUUACAGACCACAGGAUAGAUAAAGAGAUAGAUUAUCUUUAUGGUUAUUUUUAUUCAAAAAGUGUAUAUAUAGAUAACCAUAAAGCUCUUUGUAGCUAUUCAGAGGUAAGUGUGGUGGAAAGGAGAAAGGGAUGUGGCCCUUCCAAGAGACGGGAUAGUUUACUCUUCCCCAAUGAUGCAGCCCAGACUGAGAUAUGGAUUCAGCACAAGCUACAGGUGGAAUAAUUACUGAUUCAGCAGAGAGCAGCACAUGGUGACAGCCAUCUUUAACCCUAGCACACAACCAUCCUGGACUACAGAGAGUCUUUUCUUUUGUUUUGAAGGAAUGAGAUGAAAGGCAUCUCUCUGUCUCCGUCAUGUAUUUCUAUAGUGGCAAACUAGAAGCAAUAGUUAAGAAAAUACAGUGGUCAUUAAUGUCUUAGAGUCUGUGCUCCGAGCCAUUUUUGGUGACUCUGUUCCUCUGUAAUCUAUGGAUCCGUAUAGGAGUGACUGAUCUAAUGGAGAGCCAUCGGUUUGUUAUUGGAUGUAGGUCUAGGAAGGAUACAAGAGAAGAAACUAAAUGCUCAGCGUAGACUUCCCAGUCGCUCAAGGCUCAGAGACACAGACAUAAGAAAGAAUUGGUUUUAUCAGGCAGUUCGGGCAGGACUGUCAAGCUCUAUUUCCAGAACACAGCCAGGGCUCCUCUGACUGUGUGUGGCCUAUAUUAUAAAAUCACAGGACUUACCUUGAUAGUAGAUGUGCUUUUAGACUGCCAACUCAAGCCUACACCCUGCCAUGGCUGCAUUUUAGAGCAACAACUCAAAGCACCCCUGUAUUUGGUGUGUUGGUUACUGACUGUAAGGGACUCCCUCAGGCCUAGUUUCUUAUCAACUCAGGAAUCCCUGGGAGGCACCCAGUAGACACAAGGGAAAGCAAGUUGCAGAUAAGAACGUCAUGCGAUGUUUCGAUGUUGUGGGCUGCCUCAGGUGUUCACAGACGUAGCAUCAGUACACGCAGACAUCACCUGAUCUGGUGCAGGGUAUCUGUGGCUGACACACAUAACCCUGGACAUUUUCCUCUCCUUCCCCAGGAGAAGUCCUAGGAAGCAGGGAAUCACGAUCAGUAUCUUCAGAAAUGUGAUGUCAAGCAUGCAGUCAUGGGCCAUGCAUUUCUUUUAUCUGCUUCUCCACUCUGAGCACAGGAAGAACAUGUGUUCUAGGUGGGCCAGGGAAAAACAUCUCAUUUCUUAUCCAUUAGCUAAGCAGACGUUUCUUAAACCCCUCUACCUUCAUACGCCAUCCAAGCAAAGAUGUGUGGGUUGUCAUCAGUGGUAAAACGCUGUCCCGUUAGGCUCUCUUCCCUCUGUCACUUAGAUGUAGGGUUGUAAAAUGACUUACAAAAACACCUCUCUGGUCUUAUAAAUACCAGGUUAAAACCACCAGGAAGGUGAGGGGCUGAGGAGAUGGCUCAGUGGGGAAAGUGCUUGUUGUGCAAGCAUAAAAUCUUGAGUUUAGCGUCGAAUUAAAAAGCCGGGCCUACCAGAAUAUACAUCUUAAAACCCAAAACUAGGGACACAGAAACAGGUAGAUCAGCAAGCUCCAGGUUCAGCGAGAGACAGAUUAAAAAAAUAAGGUGGAAAGCAGCAGCUAAGGAGGACAUCCAGGACCACCCCUCUGGUCCUGACAUGCAUGUGUACCCAUUGUACAUGAACAGAGAUUCGCAUGCCCACACACACAAAGGCUGAAUCCGCGUCCAAAUCUGACAUCAGUACGCACGUUACAGAAACCAGCUGGGCAGCCUGGGAGCUACCAUCACACGGAACUUCUUGUCUUCUGCCUGUGCUAACAGCAUUCUUUUGUAGAGAUCCAAAAGCAAUUAGCCGUUUGGCUUACCUGGUUAUAUUUUCCCCUACUCUGUCCCUAUUCUUGUGGCUUUGCAAACAUUAAAUAUUUAAACAGUAAACAUUUAAUGAUUGCUUACGCUGUCCAAGGUAUCCCUGUGAGCAUUGCCUGUUGCUCACAAUAGUCCUGCGGUGUAUAUGUUAUUCCCAUUUAGAGACAAAAAUAACAAAUCUCGAAAGGGUUUCGAAAGCGCCCAAGAAUCAUGCUACUGGUUUGUGCCAUGGGCGAGAUGGGAUACAGACUGUCUAACUCAUAAAUUUACAUUUGGAUUUAGGGGUAUGGCUUGGGUGCCGCCUGCUAUGCUCAGAGGCCUGGGCUCAACAAUAAAUAUGAAAAUAAUAAAGACUGUUUUUCCCUACUCUACAACCCUGUCUGUACAACAAGUUAUCGCAUGGGCUUAGGGGAAUCUGUGGGUUCUUAGGAGUAGAAAUCAUGAAGCUGGGACAGACGCGAGUGAUAUUAACAGCUGCUAUUAUGAGGCACCUGCUGGGUGUCAGCAUUACUGGGUAGUCUAUUUUGGGGACACUCAUAUUAAUUUUGUGACAUAGAGACUUUCUGUUCCCAUUUUAUAGGUUGGGAAGCUGAGGCCUACAAUAGCUAAGGAAAUUUGCUCAUGACACACAGCUGAUAAUGAACAGAGGCAGCCUUCUUUCCAUUUUGGUGGUAUCCAGACUCUACAUCUUAACCAUCUUCUCAGUAGUGACAACCAAUAAAAGGUUCCUUAGUGACUUUGACCCAUAAUGCCUGGAAGACUAGGGUGGUAGGUUUCUGACUUUGGAAAUCUGCCAUAAUAGUGACUAUCCACAGUCUGUGAGGAGGUAUAACAAACACCAUGAAGUGUACACACACACACACACACACACACACACACACAGAAGCACACACACAUGCACACACUCAGAGGCACGUGUACACACACACACACACACACGCCCACACAUGCACACACCUUUCUCACAAUUAAGUCAGCCCUCCUCUGGGCAUGGACAGAAUAAAGCAAAUUGGAUUUUUCUACCAAUUCUCAGAGGGCAUGAACUCAACUUUUAGAGUUCAGAGGACAAUUCUAGUUUUGAUGUGGGGCAGAAUGACCCUACAAUGCGAGAGCUUUGAGCUGUGUUUCAGUAUCAUGACUCCAGGGAGACUCACUUUUCUUUUUAUGUUUUAUAUAGAAUUGAUUGACUUUAAAGUGCUUGGGUUUUUAACUAAAAGAGGUGUGUGUGUGUGCGCACGCGUGUGUGCAUGCACUUUGUGGUGUUGGUGUGUAAUUUAUUAGGAAAGUUUGAAAAGUAAAAGGAAAACAGCAGGGGGUCUAAGGGUAUAGCUCGGUGGCAGUGUUUGUCUUGUACCUGUGAGGCGUCAGUUCUUCAAGAGAUGGGGGAAGAGGAAGAUAGAUUCAAAUGCAUUUUUACAGAUAUAUAUAUAUAUAUAUAUAUAUAUAUUAAAAGAACUUAUAUGUUUUGUAUAGAAUUGAUUAUAUAUUGAAUUGUAGUAUAUAACUACAUAUAAUUAUCAUACUAUUAUAUUCAAUAAUAUCUGUACAUCCCACUCUGGUUCCAUUUCCGUAUGUGAUUUUGUCUUAGAGAGGCAGCUAUGUAAAGAAGUCACGAUGAUAAGGGAAAAUCCAUGUGAACAGGCAAUCCCAGAAGUGCUUACGUUAGGCUAUAGGCUGUAGUUUCAUGCUUAUAUUGUACCCUGGUUAAAACGGCACCGAGGGAGCACUUAGCAUGGAAACCAGCUACUGAGCAGCCUUGAGAAGACUCAUGGAGAGAGGUGAGAAGCUAAAUGGACCUCCCUCUUAUCCCUAUCCCACUCCCCGCUUUUAAACAGUGAGGCUUUGGUCACGAUUUUUCUUAAUAUGAGGAAAUUAAUUGGAUAUAUUUUUCAAUUACUAAAAAAAAUAAACAAAUGGAAAUUUGGUGAUUUGUUUUCUUCCAGAACUUAAUCUGCAUUAACUCAAUUACUCCAGAUACAUGAAUUUCCCCUGUUGGCUUGAAUGCAAGUUGGCUCAAAUUCAUUUCUAUUGUUUUCUCUGUAUUAAAAAUCUGAGCCUUGUGUUGGGUGCCCUGGCUGCUCUUCUAGAGAAGCUGAGUUCAGUUCCCAGCACUAAUGCCAGUCCACUAACAACCUCCUGUCCUCCAGCUUUGGGGGAUACGACGCCUUCCUCUGGUAAUUUUUGGGGUACUGCACUAAUAUGGGUCCUUACAAACAUACACAGACUUUAAAAUAAUGCUUUAAAAAGACUUCUUACAAAUCUUUCCUGUUGUCACUCUUGAUCCUAAAUGGAAUGGGGGUGGGGGGUUCUGGAGGGGAAACCAGGAAAAGGGAUAACAUUUGAAAUGUAAAUAAAGAAAAUAUCCAAUUAAAGAACAAAAAAGAGAUCCAGAAAAACAAAAUGCUAUUUCCUUCUACAAAAUUAAACAUCUGCAAACCAGCGGAUGGAAAUAUAUAUAUAUAUAAUAUAUAUGUAUAUUAUAUAUAUAUAUAUAUAUAUUUAAUCACGCAGAGCACUUGUAAAGUCAAUAGGGCAUCAUAACAAUUGUGUUCAACAACACCCUUAAAUGGGAUAGUCCCAAUCAGACAGGCCUUAUGUGUUCACUGUGCUUUCAUGAAAAUAUUGUCGGUGUGCUGUCUAUGAGUAUAUCAAAUUUGAAUUCUAGCCCAUCAAAUUUGCUAGAAGACGAUUUUUUCUCCUAACAUCAGAAGCUUUAAGAAUAAAUUAGUUUGAUUAAAAUGCAAUGUGGUCAGAAUGCUUUGUUAGAUAAAUGAUUGUGAAGUAAUUCUAUCCCCUAAAUACUUAGCAAUGCUGUUCGUUGCCACUUGUGGGUUGGGAACCAAUGAAAAGGGAGGGAAGGAGGCAAUUGUGGGGGGUUACAGACAAAGUCUAACCCAUCUCAAAGAUUCUAGUCUACGUGUUCUAUUAAGAUGAACCACGUUGUUAUUUCACGGCAAACACAGAAGAGAUGUUAUGUGAAGUAAGAAGGGGGCAUUUCAUGCAGUCUUGAUGUGGUGUUCAGCUGAGGGUUUAUGAUGGCUAGAACAGUAUGGGGAAAGGCAUGAGCCAAAAAGUUCCAAGUUGAGAAGAAGCAUGUUUGAAGUUCUGGGUUCAACAGGAAAUUUGUCCCCUUGGAAGGGAUAGACACAGUAGGUAAAUCUCUUUGUCUAUACAGGAGUUUCAGGAGGGCAAUAAAUUAAUGAGGCUCAGUAAGCAAGGGCCAGAGCCUCCUAGGGCUCGUGUAGAACCUGUGCUAACAAAUUUUGACUUGACACUGACCAUCAUGGUCACCCCCGAAGUUCACUAAAAGCAACAGAAAUGUUUCAGAGGAAACCCUCUUGGUCAGGGUUCAAAGAACCAAGUAGUGUCUUGGGGAGGGAGCACACAGUUGGAGAAGAGGAAAGAAAUCUACCAGGAGACAAAAAGUGAUGCAGAAGCCCACCUGGUGGUGGCUACCGAGAUAGGGAAUACUUUGAAUACAGAAUCCAUGGGGUUAUUGAUGGCUUUGCUGCUGAAGGUGGAGGAGGGCAAAGGUUAAGGAUAGUGCUGGAGUUGAAUUGCAUCUCCUCAAUAUUCGUGUGUUCAAAUCCUAGUACCCCAUGUCUUUAUAACAAAUGACAUUUGUACACAGAUAGGAGAAGACACAGGUAAAAAUUGUUAAUCUCAACACCAAGUGGGAAGAGCUAGAACAAUUUCUCCUUUAUGACUUAUAUUUCUACAACCUGGUGAUCAACCCUGGCGACCACUGAACUAGGGCAUUCAGCUACCAUAACUGUGAAGUGGUGAAUUUCUAUGACCUAAGCCUCCAAGGGUAAGGCAUGGGAGCACAGAGGGCUCCUGCUAUGAGUAGUAUGAACACAGCUUUGAGCCUAUUGGCUGUGGCUAUGGCAUGGAUGGUCAAGGCUCAGGAGAGAAAGCUGGCUGUUUAAUGACUGAUUUGGGAGAGUCCCUGGCAUGUAAACAGUGUCUAACAUAGCAGAGGGGACCUUGGGGGGGAUAUAUGUUUAUAGAAGGUGACAUGAGAGAGGGCGACAUGAGACUGGAUUCUUUGCUCCCAUGGCAAAUAAAUAAGAAAGACCUUUGUGAUGUGCUGUCUAUGAUAGUUGCCAUGGGAACCAGCAAUAGAUGGUAUAUAGCAAGACCGCCCAGAGGCUGCCCUCAGGGAUGACAUGAGUUAAGAAAUUGAACCUUGAGAUGGUCCUAGACACAACAAGAAAUUCUGACCCUCACAAGCUUGUCAGAGACAAUAGCUAGAAAACCCCAAUACUAAAUUACUAAUUUCUGCUGAGAAAUAGAAGUAGAUGGUAGGACAUACAUGUGUGUCUGUCUAACCAGCUUCCUUUGCAAAUGAUAGAAGAGAUUGAGUCAAUGGAUGAAUAUUAUAAUUAGAGUUUUACCCCGGUAGGCUGUCUCACAGGAUGCUGGUAUCUGAAAACUCUUUGCAAGAAAAACACUUCAGAAUUUAACAAAAACGCAAGCAAUUUUAACACUGUGAACUACUUCACAGGCAAAUGUAUUAGCCCGUCUUUUGGAUUGUAAAUGUGUUUUAGGCUCAUGGAGCCCUGAUUGACCUUAUUACUGUUUGUCUCGGGAUGAUCUCUAAUCUUCUCUCCCAGAUACUGGGAUUAUAGAUGUGUGUCACCUUUGAGACAUGUUUGUUUGAGAUAGGGUCUUACUCUGUAGUCCAGGAAUGAAUUACGAAGCCACCCUGAGCCUCAAACUAAUGGAAAGCACCCCAAAUGCUGGAGCCCAGGUGUGCAUCCUCAGGUCUGUAUUAACCAGUCCUAAACAGCUGGAAACAUGAUCUUUGUUCUGAGGGAUGACAUUGAAGGAAGGAGACAAAAGAAAAUAAAAUUUAGCCAGGCUCUCCCAGGACCCCCAUCUCAUGGGAAGAUUGGCACAGGGAAAGUAAAGACCAUCCAGUGUCAAGGGUUCUAGGAGAGCUACAAAGACCACAGGAAACCACCACAUGCCAAGGAGCCUCUCAGAGGAAGGGGUCCCUCUGGAGGUGCUUGCUCCAUGUUUAGAAACAAAAAUUGUUGAUUUUAAGACAUCCUUUAGAAACAGGCUUGUACUCGUAGUGUUUUUUGUUUGUUUUUUUGGUUUUUAGUAAGGCAGCGCAGAUCUAGGUCUCUUCCUUGGAGGAGCAGAUCAUCCCUUUCCUCUUCGUUAAAUGGGCAGUCUUCUUAUCCCUGCAGAGCUGUGGACUCUGAGGGUCUCCUGGCACCAAGUGAUCUUAUCACAGGAGGGAUUUGAGGGGACACCGAGCAAAGCCUGUUUCUGCAGAUGAUUGAGUUCAGUUAGACUUUUAGCCGGGAUGAAUUAAUAGGAGUGUGAAGGUCUAGGGGCGGGGAGAUCAUGCUGCAGGCACCUGAACAACCGUGGAGUGUACUGUUCAACAACAGGGAGGUGGAAGGACGUCAGCCUGUUCCCUCCAGUCACAGUUGCCCCUUCAAAUAGCAGAUGGGAGACUCUCGUAAGCCACGGGCUGUAAAGAUUGUACCUAGGCUCCCGCAGUACUGGAAUUCAUUGCCUUCCAUAGGACAGCUCUUUCUAGGAGCUGGCUUUGGCUAGUGUGGAGGAAGAAAUGAGGGGAAUUCUUGGCUACUACAGUGAUCUUAUAGAGAUAGCAAUAAACACAAAACAAAAACCCAAUACCUGCUUCAUCCAGAAAUGGAGGCCAUAACAGGCUUCAUCUCCUGAGAAGUGGGAGUCCUCUUACCAGUGGUUCUAAUGUCUUAUUCAUUCCAGAGCCCACUGAGUCGCCAAGAGAUAGUAGUACCACAAGAAAAUGUAAGCAAUAGGAGUCUUUGCAAAGGCUUCACUCUGGUCCUGUCCUGAGCUCAUCUAUUUAAAUUCAUGACUGAACAUGGGAGCAAGGGUGUGGCCCCAGUACAACUAGAAGGGCCCUAUGCAAUGACAUCACACUUUGAAUGGCUUAGAGGUAGCUUCUAACUUGUAUCCUUUAUGCUGUGAAUUCAUAAAGUCUGUUGUCCCCGACGUUUCUGUCUGUCUCUCACUGUCCCUUCCUCCCACUCUUGCACUCACUUCCUCCCUGCCUUUCAUGGAAGAGCUUAACUCUAAGACCCCCGAAUAUCUGUCCUUACCUCACAGGUCUGCUCAGCAGUGAGUUCAUUCUUAGCUAUUCUCGCCAGCUCCUCUAGUUCCAAAUUCAAAGCUGCUUCACAUGGAAUAAUGAAACCUUUUGCUAAGAGAGGCUGACGGAGGUUACUUGAUAAUUAGUCUUCACUGCCAAUAAAGAACACAAACACACAAGAGUUUCUAAUGAUUUCGCAGCUAAUUUAUAUGCACAAAAAAUAAUUAACAUCAUGUAAAUUUUCCUUGCCAGUUGAGUCUUCUUUGAAUAUCGAAAGAUAUGUCAUUUUAAAAUUAUUUCAUACUUCACUGAUGAACUAAAAUUGAGACAUUGGAUGCAUACAGCAUGCAAGUGCUGGUGGGCAAGUAGAAGAUGAUCUUCAACAGAAGACAGGGAUAUCUAAACCGUCCAGGGUCAGUUACCAUCCCUCAAGAGGGACAACAGCCAUAGGAUGGUUUCUAGGAAACAAAUGAAGCUUUCUCCAGAUUCAACACAGAACCACAGCCCCUUCGGUAACCCUGAUGGGUUCCGACAUAAAAUUGUUGGCAUGAGAAUUCCUUUUGAAUUUGAAUUAACAAAUAUAGAUAGGCUUGGAUCUUCUCUACUAUUAAAAGAUGAUCAUUUAAACCUACCGGUCCAGUUUUAAAGAAAAUGGCGAGAUUAAUUUAGUUGCAAUGGAAAACAAAAUAGCCUUUCCUGAACACAGAAGCGUUGUACGAUUCGGCCAUUCCACUUCUGGAUUUGUUUCUGGGUAUAGACUCACAGUCAAGAGGAUAAAGAAUGCAUCACACACACACACACACACACACACACACACACACACACUCAUACACUCACACAUAACAUAUACAUAUAUCACAUUCACACACACUUAACAUACACACAUAACACACACACACACAGAGAGAGAGAGAGAACACAGAGAGGGUAGAGAGUGCAGGGGGUGUUAUUCGUCCACGAGGAGGAGGAAGAACAGAUAUUCUAUCACUGGAUGGAACUAGGGGGCUUUAUGUAAAUAAUCCAGAAACCUAGAAACAGGUGCUGCAUGCCUCUCUUGCACAUGAAGUUAACAAUAAACCGGCCUGCAAAUAGAAUACAGAUUACUAAGGACUGGGAAGGGUGCAGAAGAAGAAA